CGUAUUAACAAAGUCAUUCUAAUUCAGAAUAUUGCAAAAUUUUAAUGUUGGUUGAUUUUUCUCAUUGUUGAAGUCCAUACAGUAACCUAUUUUACAUCAACAUCAUUUGGUCUCUGUAGAAUAGUAAUGUCUCGCAUCUCUUCAUUUCAUAACAAAUCAAUUUGUAGGUUCUAUAAAGUGGGCCGAUGAUGAAGGUAAGGGAAAUUUUGACUGCCAACUGAGAGGAGGAUAUGUUGGACAGAAAUAAAGCCUUGCAACAGGCCACCUACUGACCCCUCAAAGAGUUGUGGCAAGGGUUCUUUAACGUGCAGAGUGGCACUGUCCCUACACAUAGGAACUAUACUUUUUAAAUUGUCAUUCCAAUUUUUGUUUGUUUUAAACAUGAUAACUUUAGCAGACUUUAAGGUGGGGGUCAUAAAAAAUAUUACAAUAAUCCCACCUUUUACACCACCCUCAAUGUUUAUUAUCUAGAACUCUGUUUACAAACGAUUUUGUUUUCAUAUUAUUUUAUAGUAUUUUCAUUUUUUAUAUUUUUUUUUAUUUUUUUUUUUACAGAGCUCUAGAUACUAAAAAUAUCAGAUGUUAAAGGUUAGAGGUAUUAACAAAGUCAUUCUAAUUCAGAAUAUUGCAAAAUUUUAAUGUUAGUUGAUUUUCUCAUUGUUGAAGUCCAUACAGUAACAUGCAACUUCAUUUGGUCUCUGUAGGAUAGUUGUCUCGCAUCUCUUCUUUUCAUAACAAAUCAAUUUGUAGGUUCUAUAAAGUGGGCCCAUGACGAAGGUAAGGGAAAUUUUGACUGCCAACUGAGAGGAGGAUAUGUUGGACAGAAAUUAAGCCUUGCAACAGGCCACCUACUGACCCCUCAAAGACUUGUGGCAAGGGUUCUUUAACGUGCAGAGUGGCACUGUCCCUACAC